rnacentral:rRNA from 1 species
CUACGGGUCGCUCCAGUGGGGAAUAUUGCACAAUGGGCGAAAGCCUGAUGCAGCAACGCCGCGUGAGGGACGACGGCCUUCGGGUUGUAAACCUCUUUUAGCAGGGAAGAAGCGAAAGUGACGGUACCUGCAGAAAAAGCACCGGCUAACUACGUGCCAGCAGCCGCGGUAAUACGUAGGGUGCAAGCGUUGUCCGGAAUUAUUGGGCGUAAAGAGCUCGUAGGCGGUUUGUCGCGUCUGCUGUGAAAAUCCGAGGCUCAACCUCGGACCUGCAGUGGGUACGGGCAAACUAGAGUGCGGUAGGGGAGAUUGGAAUUCCUGGUGUAGCGGUGGAAUGCGCAGAUAUCAGGAGGAACACCAGUGGCGAAGGCAGAUCUCUGGGCCGUAACUGACGCUGAGGAGCGAAAGCGUGGGGAGCGAACAGGAUUAGAUACCCUCGUAGUC